AUGCUAUAUAGGAAUUGAAUAAAGUCCCUUUUAACAUCUAAAUCCAUCUGUUUCACUUUGUCAGCAGUCUUGAACUUGGUUUCUUGCUGAUCAUUUCAUGAUGGGAAAUCU
rfam:Arabis alpina cultivar Pajares chromosome 7, whole genome shotgun sequence.